AUUAACUAUUCGCGAUAAUUAAUAUUUUUUUUAUUAAUCUAGGCUUACCCUUAGCGAGUAGUCUAUGUCUACAGCCAGUCUUUUGCUUUGUUGAUCCUUGCAUGGUAGCAAAUUGUCCAGGCACUUGUGUUCAAACCUGUGCAUGUGGACAUACCUGUCUGUAAAACAAAGAGCAGUUGGUGAAAUUUCUAAGCAACAGUUCAAAUGCCGAAUUGACUAAACAAAGCUUUAUUUCAUU
rnacentral:sRNA from 1 species